AUCCUUGACACUUUUCAAGUUUCCCUUUCCUCUUUUCAUCCCUCCUUUCAAGCCCCCUUUUUUACUCAGCUCUCCCUAUAUCUGACGCCGACAUUAAAAUAUAUUUCACAAAACAAUGAACUGAAGCAAUAACUAUAGAACAAUUUGACAAAUGAAAUACAAAAAUCAAUGGAGGACGUCAAAAGGUUGUUAAAGAAAAACAAGUUGUUUGUUGGAAACAAUACGUUUCGCACAAAAGGGAUUUGUUUAGAAAAGGGGAUAGGGGUAAAUUGAAGGCCAAGAGGAAGAAGGGUCAGAGAUAUAGAAAAAUAGAGCAAGAUGGAG